UUUUAACGGCCGCGGUAUUCUAACCGUGCAAAGGUAGCGUAAUCACUUGUCCCCUAAAUAGAGACUAGUAUGAACGGCUAAAUGAGGACAAACCUGUCUCUUACGACCUAUCAGUGAAACUGAUCUCCCUGUCCAAAAGCAGGAAUACUAACAUAAGACGAGAAGACCCUGUGGAGCUUAAAACCCACUACUAACAAGCCAUAUGGCAUAACUAGUACCACUUUUAAGUUGGGGCGACUUCGGAACAAAACAGAACUUCCGAGCACAGAACCACCAAUUCUAACCAAGGCCAACAAGCCAAAGCAAAACCUGACCCAGUAAUACUGAUCAACGAACCAAGUUACCCCAGGGAUAACAGCGCUAUCUUCUUCAAGAGUCCAUAUCGACAAGAAGGUUUACGACCUCGAUGUUGGAUCAGGACACCCAAAUGGUGCAGCCGCUAUUAAAGGUUCGUUUGUUCAACGAUUAACAGUCCU
rnacentral:rRNA from 1 species